CCAGUUAUACCUCACUGACUCGACCUUGUUCAGGGAGAGUACAGUAUGCAGUAUUCCUUGGAAUCGCUAGAUGGUGCACAACAUACAAAGAAAAGAAAAGCAUGAUGGGACCUCACGUGAUGACGCCCCUUCCCAAUCAUCAUUUCCUUUUGUGCUUCGCGCAAGGUGCACGCAUCGAGUUUGCUCCGGUACGAUCCGGUAGUGACUCAGUUUUUCGUUGUUGGAAAAUUAUCAAGUGGUGGAGCUAAGAGAAGAACCACUUUCGGCGCACCAUGCCGCCGAUAGGGUAAGCCCCUAUCGGCCGGCUACUAUCGACGCAGCAGGCCGUAAGACCGGGAAGGGUGAAAAGCCCCUAUCGGCGGGCUACUAUCGGUACUGGCGGUCGAGCUUAGCGCUCAAGGCUUGCCAGGCGCUGGGAAGGACCAAAAGGCCCUUUCGGCGCAACAUGCACGGGAAGAAUUGGCCAAGCAUGCCGUAAAACCUGGAGGUUAUCGGCGAGGCUACGUAUACAGACGGCCGUCAUACCUUGUGCCUUACACGGAGCUGGCACUAUCGGCGCACCAGGCCGAAAAACCUGGAGGAUAGCGCAGCCACAGAGGGCCGCUAUGGCCAUGGUGCCCGAGGUUGAGGCACUGGCCCUUUCGGUGCAGCAGGCACGGAGAAUUGAGGUAAUACCCCACGUUCUUUGCGCCAGGUGACGUUAAAGAUUUGAGAACGGUGGAAGACUGUUCUCGGGGCUCCGUCCAUAUUCAGAAGGAGCGGCAGCCGCCGUGCCACGUGGGCCGGUCGGGGUGAUCGACAUCUCAAUGGAACUGUAAGUAGAUUACGGGCUCCGGUCGCUCCGUUAUGGUUGCUCGGAUAAGCUUCCAUGUUGAACACGCUGUUAGGCAUGUUGCCGUUGCAUUCUACGCUCGUCAAGGAGGAGCGUCCAGCAGUUUCCCCAUAAAGUCGUUUUAUGAGCGGUUGACUUAGGAAAGACGUCAAUCGGCACAGAAGGGGACCUCCCCUUCUUCUUCUGCUGACUAUGAUACGUCGCAGUUGUCUGACAAGAGAAGCUCCAGGUGAAUAAAAUAUUGGGAGCUUAUGUUAAAGCUUGUCCCUGAGGGAAGCUUUUUUAUGGCAAUAAAGUUAUCAAUUACUUAGCCAUACUAGAAAUGUGUGUCCGUAAUUAGCAUUUUCACGGAGAAUGCUCCUCAAAGACAAUUGACGAAGUUGAAUUCGUCUGGGACGUUUUGUGACUGGUCACGCACGUAGUUAAUACACAUGUAUAUUCAACGUCUGGCUCUUUGUUGUUACUUUAGACAACAAGAUUUAACAUGAUUCAUGUUGACGAGUUUACCAUGUUUUUGGUAGUCUUGAUAGAAUUUUGUUCUAUACGAGGAACACGUGUCCUUUCUAAUAAACCAUUGUUAUGCAAACAUUGCGAAUGUUGUCGGCAAAUGGUCGACGGUAUUCCUCCGAACUCCGCUCACCCAGGAUUGACCGUCCCGGGCGUGGCUGCAGAGCAUUCUUAUGAUUCUACUUCUUCCUGGUAAGUAUGUUCCAGAAGAUGGGAAGAAGGAGCUCUGUGUGCUUCACGGAACUUCAGGAUGAAGAAAAUAUUAACCACGUUCUUUAACUGGUUGAUUAACUAUUAUAUGCCGGCCAUCUGAGCAUUUGUUUACAGCUGCUCGUCUUGGCUCGCCACGUGCAUGUCCUGGACUGGGGGGGAUUCCCAGUCACCAGAGCAGGGGCUAUUGAGGUAGCCAAUCAGGUAACAUAUCCUUGAUCCAAUCAUGGACACUAUCGUUCGAAUAUUGUAGACGUUCAAUACCUCGUAUGCAGGUGUGAAACCUAUUAUUCUGGCCAGUAGCCAAGAUCCUGUUUCUUGUGUUCUCACCUACGGUCCUAGUUAUCAGAUCCACAAGCACCUAGCCGGAUGGUAUAAAUACCGAUGGCUAAUGUUGUAUCAGAAGUGCGAUUCUUGUUAAAAUCGCUAGAGGACCCCAUUAUUGCAUUAAAGGGUCAGAGGUCAUAGUAGUGUUGAAACGUGCUGGUAACAUUUUGUCCGCCAUUUAGGUUCCUGGCUCAGCUAUAGACCUGUUUUUACCCGUUAUACGUUAUCGGGAACAUCACAUCGGUUAUGAAUCCGACCGAAGGUCCAUUAUCAGCGUAACGUUCAGUGGUGCCAUGGGUUUUAAAGCAACCCGCCUAUUUGAUAUAUUUUGUUGGCAUGAACGCUCCCCGAUGUUACAUUCUUUCGUGAAAUCGGGGGCCCCGUGUUGAGAAGGGGCCUCGAGCACGCAAUUCAGCCGCCUUACAUUAAAUUAGGUACCUUCUGGCUGCUAAUUUUACACCAGUAGUUACUUGGUUACGUGUACAGCGGGAAUCUGAAGUCAAGGGGCAAAACACCUUGGCUACAUAUACCAAUAUGAACGGUGAACUUCAAGUUUCGGAACUCCCGCUGCCCGAGCUUCCAGCAUCGGGACCCAUGAUACGUCUCCACAACUAUCGCUAUAUGGUUGAGUUGUGCGGAGAAAUUGUGCAAACAAUUUUGUUUACAAUUACAUUAUGUUUUGUACAUGUUGGCGCUUCUAUGGACGGAAAGAGUUCGUCGCCCUUCUUUGUUCACAUGAUGUUGAAGUAGCGCAAUAUCAAGCGCAAUAGCGCAAUAUCAAGCGCAAUAGCGCAAUUCCUUUUUUAAGUUCACAGGUAACUUACAACAGGGUUGUAGAACAUGUUACACAUAACCAUGUUCAAAACUGAUCAUGGCAGACAUUGCAGAGAAGAUCAGUUUAAUUAUUUUGUGCAGUCUUUGCACACAGACUAGACGUUGUUGCAUUGUUACCAUCUGGGUUUUUAUCAUACUAUCCAGCUGGUCAGUAUGCUGAAGCAUAUGUGGUGUGAUCAAAAUGAUGAGAUAUGUGAUCAAUAUGAUGAGACACGUGAUGUGAUCAAUAUGAUGAGACGUAAUGUGAUCAAUAUGAUGAGACAUGUGAUGUGAUCAAAUGAUGAGACAUGUGAUGUGAUCAAAAUGAUGAGACAUGUGAUGGGAUUAAUACGAUGAAACUGGUGAUGUUUUUCAUACUAUGUCAACCCUUAUAGUCUUGCUGGUGUCUGCAACAUGACGAAGGCCCGCAAUGUACCUUGUCCUUCUGUGCUACUCUUGAUGUCAGCUGAUAUUGACAUAUUGCAAGUACUUCUUGCUAUUCAUGUUUCUUAGUGAAAUAUACAAGUUCACACGUUAAGGGUGGAACUGUACUCAUGUGUGAGUGAAAAAACUUCACUGUUAAAUUAGGUGUUGGGGUACAAUGCAAGUUACCAGACACCUUUCUGAAUUUCACUAUCCCAAGCUUCCGGUAGGUGAUUGGUGACAAGUGAGCCAUGCAAUUUAGGCUCACAAGACUGGCUUCUGGCAGCCUACAAUCCACUGGACUGGAAACAUUAAAAUGUGGUGUUGAGUUACCAAAAUUGGUACUUAUCGUUUGUUUUUGUAAAGAUUGCCUACACCACAGGUGAGGCUCCUACUUGUUUACAAGUUGAGUAUGUUUGUUACACACGUUAUGUGGAUUCGCGAGGAAUCUAUUACAGUUGACUUCAUGUUUUUGCAUGAACCACACCAAUUCAAAUGUAUUAUUGGUAUGUUGGUACUCUUGUUUUUAUUUGGAGCCACAGUUAGCUUGAAAUUCAGCUAUUUUUUCCUGUGGUCGAUAGAUCGCUUGGGCGCUCUUAUAUUGGCCCAGUCGUUCAACACAUGCAUGCUAUACAUUGCCUUACCUUACAUUGUACCCGUUACAAUUGUUGUGUAAUAAAUUGUUUUAUUGUUAUAGGCCGUUCUUUCACGAGGACCAGCCACUACAUCUAAUGGGUUUCUUCCCUCUAUGAAGGGAAACAGGAGGUUUGUGUUUGUCUCCUCAAGGGUCGCUUGAAGAUGUCUCCUUCCCCUUGGGAAAAAGGGGGGGGGGCAAGUUGAUGGGACUGGACAAUGUGUACCAAGUCCUAAGGAUUAAUGCCUUUGUUCAUCAGGCACUCAGUGUUAUCUAACAGUUAUACUGGUAGGACAUUAGGUCACGAGAACUGACCUUCUUAGACUAUAACUGAUACUUCAGUUGAUACCUGUGCUGUCCAGAUACAGCUUUGGAGUCUGCAUACUGUACUCUCCCUGAACAAGGUCGAGUCAGUGAGGUAUAAUUGGGGGUUAUGCUAAGAUGUACUUACCAUCUACAGUAUAAUCUGAAUUAUACCUCAUACGAGACCUUGUUCAGGUAUAUCUUCCCACCCUCAGUAACUUAUGUUCAGCUGCAGGGAUUUAGUGAACAUUACCCACCCAUGGACAGCACAGACUUAUUUAUCUACUCUCGCACUCAGUCAAUGAUGAUUGGGAAGGGGCGUCAUCACGUGAGGUCCCAUCAUGCUUUUCUUUUCUUUGUAUGUUGUGCACCAUCUAGCGAUUCCAAGGAAUACUGCAUACUGUACUCUCCCUGAACAAGGUCUCGUAUGAGGUAUAAUUCAGAUUAUACUGUAGAUGGUAAGUACAUCUUAGCAUAACCCCCA